AUUGAACGCUGGCGGCAGGCCUAACACAUGCAAGUCGAGCGGAUGAGGGGAGCUUGCUUCCUGAUUCAGCGGCGGACGGGUGAGUAAUGCCUAGGGAUCUGCCUGGUAGUGGGGGACAACGUUUCGAAAGGAACGCUAAUACCGCAUACGUCCUACGGGAGAAAGUGGGGGAGCUUCGGACCUCACGCUAUCAGAUGAGCCUAGGUCGGAUUAGCUAGUUGGUGAGGUAAAGGCUCACCAAGGCGACGAUCCGUAACUGGUCUGAGAGGAUGAUCAGUCACACUGGAACUGAGACACGGUCCAGACUCCUACGGGAGGCAGCAGUGGGGAAUAUUGGACAAUGGGCGAAAGCCUGAUCCAGCCAUGCCGCGUGUGUGAAGAAGGUCUUCGGAUUGUAAAGCACUUUAAGUUGGGAGGAAGGGCUGUAGGCUAAUAUCCUGCAGUUUUGACGUUACCGACAGAAUAAGCACCGGCUAACUUCGUGCCAGCAGCCGCAGUAA
rnacentral:rRNA from 1 species